rnacentral:rRNA from 1 species
CCUACGGGUGGCUGCAGUGGGGACUAUUGGGCAAUGGGCGCAAGCCUGACCCAGCAAUGCCGCGUGAAUGAAGAAGGCUUUCGGGUUGUAAACUUCUUUGACAGGGGAAGAGGAGAAGACGGUACCCUGAAAACAAGCCACGGCUAACUACGGGCCAGCAGCCGCGGUAAUACGUAGGUGGCAAGCCUUGUCCGGAUUUACUGGGGGUAAAGGGCUGGUAGCCGGGAGGGCAAGUCAGAUGUGAAAUCUGGAGGCUCAACCUUCAAAUUGCAUUUGAAAAUGUUGUUCGUGAGUACUGGAGAGGCAGACGGAAUUCCUUGUGUAGCGGUGGAAUGCGUAGAUAUAAGGAGGAACACCAGUGGCGAAGGCGGUCUGCUGGACAGCAACUGACGGUGAGGCGCGAAAGCGUGGGGAGCAAACAGGAUUAGAUACCCGAGUAGUC